rnacentral:rRNA from 1 species
CACACGGCGGGUGCUAACGUCCGUCGUGAAGAGGGAAACAACCCAGACCGCCAGCUAAGGUCCCAAAGUCAUGGUUAAGUGGGAAACGAUGUGGGAAGGCCCAGACAGCCAGGAUGUUGGCUUAGAAGCAGCCAUCAUUUAAAGAAAGCGUAAUAGCUCACUGGUCGAGUCGGCCUGCGCGGAAGAUGUAACGGGGCUAAACCAUGCACCGAAGCUGCGGCAGCGACACUGUGUGUUGUUGGGUAGGGGAGCGUUCUGUAAGCCUGCGAAGGUGUGCUGUGAGGCAUGCUGGAGGUAUCAGAAGUGCGAAUGCUGACAUAAGUAACGAUAAAGCGGGUGAAAAGCCCGCUCGCCGGAAGACCAAGGGUUCCUGUCCAACGUUAAUCGGGGCAGGGUGAGUCGACCCCUAAGGCGAGGCCGAAAGGCGUAGUCGAUGGGAAACAGGUUAAUAUUCCUGUACUUGGUGUUACUGCGAAGGGGGGACGGAGAAGGCUAUGUUGGCCGGGCGACGGUUGUCCCGGUUUAAGCGUGUAGGCUGGUUUUCCAGGCAAAUCCGGAAAAUCAAGGCUGAGGCGUGAUGACGAGGCACUACGGUGCUGAAGCAACAAAUGCCCUGCUUCCAGGAAAAGCCUCUAAGCAUCAGGUAACAUCAAAUCGUACCCCAAACCGACACAGGUGGUCAGGUAGAGAAUACCAAGGCGCUUGAGAGAACUCGGGUGAAGGAACUAGGCAAAAUGGUGCCGUAACUUCGGGAGAAGGCACGCUGAUAUGUAGGUGAAGUCCCUCGCGGAUGGAGCUGAAAUCAGUCGAAGAUACCAGCUGGCUGCAACUGUUUAUUAAAAACACAGCACUGUGCAAACACGAAAGUGGACGUAUACGGUGUGACGCCUGCCCGGUGCCGGAAGGUUAAUUGAUGGGGUCAGCGCAAGCGAAGCUCUUGAUCGAAGCCCCGGUAAACGGCGGCCGUAACUAUAACGGUCCUAAGGUAGCGAAAUUCCUUGUCGGGUAAGUUCCGACCUGCACGAAUGGCGUAAUGAUGGCCAGGCUGUCUCCACCCGAGACUCAGUGAAAUUGAACUCGCUGUGAAGAUGCAGUGUACCCGCGGCAAGACGGAAAGACCCCGUGAACCUUUACUAUAGCUUGACACUGAACAUUGAGCCUUGAUGUGUAGGAUAGGUGGGAGGCUUUGAAGUGUGGACGCCAGUCUGCAUGGAGCCGGCCUUGAAAUACCACCCUUUAAUGUUUGAUGUUCUAACGUUGACCCGUGAUCCGGGUUGCGGACAGUGUCUGGUGGGUAGUUUGACUGGGGCGGUCUCCUCCUAAAGAGUAACGGAGGAGCACGAAGGUUGGCUAAUCCUGGUCGGACAUCAGGAGGUUAGUGCAAUGGCAUAAGCCAGCUUGACUGCGAGCGUGACGGCGCGAGCAGGUGCGAAAGCAGGUCAUAGUGAUCCGGUGGUUCUGAAUGGAAGGGCCAUCGCUCAACGGAUAAAAGGUACUCCGGGGAUAACAGGCUGAUACCGCCCAAGAGUUCAUAUCGACGGCGGUGUUUGGCACCUCGAUGUCGGCUCAUCACAUCCUGGGGCUGAAGUAGGUCCCAAGGGUAUGGCUGUUCGCCAUUUAAAGUGGUACGCGAGCUGGGUUUAGAACGUCGUGAGACAGUUCGGUCCCUAUCUGCCGUGGGCGCUGGAGAACUGAGGGGGGCUGCUCCUAGUACGAGAGGACCGGAGUGGACGCAUCACUGGUGUUCGGGUUGUCAUGCCAAUGGCACUGCCCGGUAGCUAAAUGCGGAAGAGAUAAGUGCUGAAAGCAUCUAAGCACGAAACUUGCCCCGAGAUGAGUUCUCCCUGACUCCUUGAGAGUCCUGAAGGAACGUUGAAGACGACGACGUUGAUAGGCCGGGUGUGUAAGCGCAGCGAUGCGUUGAGCUAACCGGUACUAAUGAACCGUGAGGCUUAACCU